CCAAUAGCGUAUAUUAAAGUUGUUGCAGUUAAAAAGCUCGUAGUUGAAUUUUUGAUUCUGCCAGUUGGUCCAUCUUUUGAUGAGUACUGAUUGUGUGGGGUCUAUCCGCCUGGUAAUACGUAAUGUACUUUAUUGUAUGUUACGGGUAGCCAGGACCUUUACCUUGAAAAAAUUAGAGUGUUUAAAGCAGGCUUAUGCCGGAAUACAUUAGCAUGGAAUAAUAGAAUAGGACGAUGUUGUUUUAUUUUGUUGGUUUCUAGGACAACCGUAAUGAUUAAUAGGGAUAGUUGGGGGCAUUAGUAUUCAAUUGUCAGAGGUGAAAUUCUUGGAUUUAUUGAAGACUAACUACUGCGAAAGCAUUUGCCAAGGAUGUUUUCAUUAAUCAAGAACGAAAGUUAGGGGAUCGAAGACGAUCAGAUACCGUCGUAGUCUUAACCAUAAACUAUGCCGACUAGGGAUCGGGCGAUGUUGUUUCAAUGACUCGCUCGGCACCUUAUG
rnacentral:rRNA from 1 species